rnacentral:rRNA from 1 species
AGCAGCCGCGGUAAUUCCAGCUCCAAUAGCGUAUAUUAAAGUUGUUGCAGUUAAAAAGCUCGUAGUUGAAUUUCGGGGUCAGUGGGUCGGUCGUGCCACUGGUAUGUACUGGCCCUACUGAUUCCUCCUUCUUGAAGAACUGUAAUGCCAUUAAUUUGGUGUUGCAGGGAAACAGGACUGUUACUUUGAAAAAAUUAGAGUGUUUAAAGCAGGCAAUCGCUUGAAUAUAUUAGCAUGGAAUAAUGAAAUAGGACGUUCGAUCCUAUUUUGUUGGUUUCUAGGGUUGACGUAAUGAUUAAUAGGGAUAGUUGGGGGCAUUAGUAUUCAAUUGUCAGAGGUGAAAUUCUUGGAUUUAUUGAAGACUAACUACUGCGAAAGCAUUUGCCAAGGAUGUUUUCAUUAAUCAAGAACGAAAGUUAGGGGAUCGAAGACGAUCAGAUACCGUCGUAGUCUUAACCAUAAACUAUGCCGACUAGGGAUCGGAUGAUGUUAAUUUUUUAAUGACUCA